GCUGCUCACUUCGGCAGCACGUAUACUAAAAUGGAACAAUACAGAAAAGAUUAGCAUGGCCCCUUUACCAACAUGACACACAAAUACGUGAAUUGUUCCAUAUUUUC
ensembl:snRNA U6 U6 spliceosomal RNA